UCUGACGUGGCAGAACCCGGUUUUGCUCUAGUCCUAAGAACUUCCUCAUGGAGGUUCAAAUCCUCUCGUCAAAU
rnacentral:tRNA from 1 species